rnacentral:tRNA from 1 species
GCUUUGGUAGCACAGUUGGAAGUGCGACAGACUGUUAAUCUGUAGGUCAUGGGUUCGAUCCCCAUCCGAAGCU